rfam:Cicer arietinum chromosome Ca4, whole genome shotgun sequence.
GUUCCCAAUGAUUGUUUACUACCAUUUUUACCAUGCUAAUGCUGAUAAUUGAUGAUUAAUGUGUUCAGUUAAUCAUAAUGAGGGAUCU